rnacentral:tRNA from 1 species
CAGGGAGACAACAAAAUGUUUAAUAUUAUUAUUUUGUCACCUUAGGUCGAUCGGUAUCUCACGUUCUUAAUUAAUUAAGAAUUUCAUUUCCUAAGUUUUUCUAGGUCACACCCAUUAUUUUUCCUGGGCCAUUAGCUCAGGUGGUUAGAGCGCACCCCUGAUAAGGGUGAGGUCCCUGGUUCAAGUCCAGGAUGGCCCAUAUCUCUAUGUUGGGGGUAUAGCUCAGUUGGUAGAGCGCCUGCUUUGCAAGCAGGAUGUCAGCGGUUCGAGUCCGCUUACCUCCACUGAUUACCACCUCUUCCAUAAUCUGUAGAAAGGAAAUGUUUUGAGUUGUGAUCAAAUUCUGAACGAAUCUAGCUUCCUAAUGCAAGCAUUAAGAUGCUGGACUCAUUGAAUUAAUUUCAUUGUUUUCAGAGAACCUUGACAACUGCAUAGAUUAUUUUUUAAAGACAAUAAGCAUCUUUAAUGAUGCAGAUUUAUUAUUUGUGCGAAUGCAUUAAUAACAAUUCUAUUAAGCUGAUGCUUCAA